UGGCUUCAACAACUGACCAAAAGAGAGAAAGAGAUUAAAAUGACGACAAAAAUCAAAUUAAACAAAGAAAGGAGUAAAUCUAAUGAAGGAAAAUUGCAGUAACACUUAGUUAGCAUGAAGUUAAAAGCAAUUAUGAAUCCUAUGUAGUCCAGCUUCAUAGUAAUCCAGAACCAAAUAUAGUCCAGCAAUUAUCCACAGAGUAAUUCAAUAUUAAACUGGGAACAUAAUCUCGGAUUAAUUCAAAACUAAACCGGGUAUCAGAGGAAGGUGCUCAUAUCAUAAAUCAAACUCAAUCUCACUACAAGAACACGGAAUCACUAGCACAAUCACAAAACCCAACAAGCAGAUCAAGCCCCAAAAGGGUAUGCCUAAAAUCCCAAUCUUUGAAAUUCUAGGAAGAUUAAAAUUAAAAAAGGUGAAGAAAACUAC